rnacentral:lncRNA from 1 species
UUUCUGGUCGCUUUUGUUCCCGCAGAUUUGCGCGGAGCCUUGUUUUUGGGGGAAAGCCAGGAGCUGGGCCUUCCUGCUUUAUUCCUGAGCAGUAUCCCGGGAAGGUGGCGGCUGUCUAGAAAGAGCUUCUGGAGCGGGGCUCUGGAAACCCGCGUUCCAAUUCCCUAUCUGCCCCUGCUGAGCUGUGUGACCUUGGGCAAGUCACUUGGCCUCUCUGAGCCCUGGGCGCCUACCCGGAACAAUGAGGGUAAUAAUAACCACCACAGGGGGCUUGUGAGAAGGUGGUGAGCUCACAGAGGGCCGGCACCUGCAUUUUUUAGGCGGCCUGCCUGCCUGGGGGUGGGGUGAUGGGAGGAGUAAGUCUUCUCCAAAAACCUUGACCAGAGGAGACUAUCCGUCGCCUAUCAUCAGUCCAUCUUCUUUCAACGGGCCACCUCCUCGGCCUGUGGGACAGAGAAAAUGCAAACACAUGGGCCAAGGGUCAGAGAGAACCUGGCAGGAAGUACCAGAGGGUUGCAGCCACUGCCCCGGGAAUUUGCAUCGGCCCGUACUGUGGUUGGGGGAAGGGGAGCCCCGCGGCGUCCCACCUCUUGAUCCCACAACUUCAGGAUCCUCCACUUCUAGAAACUCAGGACCGAGCGAGGUGGGUUCCCCCGUGCCCUUCCCCCAGAAGAUGUCCUUUUGACGUCCUGGCGAUCUAGGCCCGGCCCAUCUCCUUUGUGGCUGCCAGAUGUGCCGGCCUUGGGGUGCCCUCUGGGCAGAGCCCCCAGCCUGGUUCUGGGGUUCGCUCGGGGGUGUUGAACAGUGAGUGGGUUCCUCAGGGCACGGUCCAGGGUGCUGAGAACUUCUAGGGAAGUUCUCUCUUGGGUCCUCAGACGCACCUGUGUUGGGGAGGCCUGUUGGUGAAGCAGCACCUUCUCUCCUGCCCCCACCCACCAGGCAUGUUUCCCAGGAGCCAUCCCAGGGCUCUCGUCAGGCUGGGAGAAGAGGCAUGGAGUUAGAGCCAGGUGGCUUCCAGCAGCACAGGUGCCAUCGGGGGACUGUUGGGUGCCCCCCACAACCAGUGACUGAGUUACUCCUUGUUUUCUUGGGCCUUGUUCUUUUAUGGGAUUCCAAGGAAGUGGUCACAUUCCAAAAUCUAAGAUCUGAGUAAGCACAGGAACAACUUGUCCUCUUGACAAAGGAGGCCCCCCUGAGUGGACGCAUCUUGGACCUUCUCACUGCCGGAGGCUUCUCAAGCCCAGCCCCAGAGGCACCAUGCACACCUGGAUUCCAGUCCCAGCUCUGGCCUGGCCACUCAUUCAACCCCUCUGAGCCUCAGUUUGCUCAUCUGUGAAAGAGAGCCAGGAACCAGUGGCCAGCUGCGGCAGAAGUCAGAGUGCUGACCAGAGUCUCUGCGACCUGAGAGGGCAGAGGCCUGCCUGCAGGACCCCUGGUCCAGGUCCACCCAGCUCCCAACGCCUUCUUGUUAAUUCUUGCUGUGCAGUUUGAUAUUUAAUGUCAAACUGAGAUGAAUAGCAUCCCCCCAAAUUCCUUGUCCACCUGGAACCUGGGACCUGACCUUGUUUGGAAACAAGGUCUGUGUGAAUGUAAUUAAGGUAAGGAUCAGGAAUACAGUGGAUUAGCAAAGGCUGGAGAUUCAAAGGGACUCUUCUUACAAGAGACAGAAAAGAACCUGCAGAGAUUUAGGGGGAAGGCCACUUGAAGACAGAGGCAGAGAUUGGAGCCAAGGGGUCGUCGAUGCCCAGGCCACCGUGCACCCCAAGAGGCAGGAAGGGUCUUGCAGAACCUUCAGGGGGAACUCAGCCUGCUCACACCUUGGCUUUGGACUCCUGGCCUCCAGAGCUCUGUGGAAGGGUGAAUCCUUUAUUUUAAGCUCCCCCCCCCACUUCUUUGCGAUCUUUCUUUAGAGCACCCACAGGAAACCAAUUCAGUGACAUAUCCCCCUAAACUUCAGUUCGGCUCCACUUAAUUCAGCUCAUAAUGGAUAUUAAAUCCUUACCCUCCAAGAUCAGACCUCUCUAUUUCAGGUUUGGGGGUCUUGGAAGGUAGGUUGCACACGGAUGGGAGAUGACCACCUCAACUCCUUGCCUGAGACCAUUCGUCCAUCAGCUUCUCCUCAGGAAAAGGGUGGAUGGCCUUGAGUCUCUGGAUGCUGGUGCCAGGUGCCAAAUGCCAGCCCUGCAGCCCAGGGCUCCAUCCCCAACAGCCCCUGCCACUGGGGCUCUGGGGCUCUCUCUCACCCAGCUCUGCACAUGCACAAGGUGACCCCUGACUGUUUCAGCAUUUCCCCACCUGCUGCCCCUUCUGCAGAAGCCACUGGCGUUGUGGAGGGCUUGGGGAUCCUGGGCGGAGACAGAGGGCCCUGGGCUCGGGCCCAGGUCAGAAGGUGUGCACACCUCCAAGCCAGUUCUGGGAAAGCAGGGCUGCAAGGAGAGGGAGGGGGCUGGGUGUGCAGAAGGGAGCACACUGCGUUGAGUUCAUUGGGCAUUCGGGCCCCAGCUGCCCUGGGCCUGACUGGGCAGGGGGCUGUGCUGACAGGACAGGAGCCCCUGUCCUCAGAGCAUGAUCUAAUCUAGGGCAGCCAGAUAUGUCUAUCUGCAUCUUUUUUAAGUGGACACGAUAUCUUCACCUUAUUUUUAUGUGGUGCUGAGGAUCGAACCCAGCGCCCCGCGCAUGCCAGGCGAGCGCACUACCGCUUGAGCCACAUCCCCAGCCCCUAUCUGCAUCUUUAGUCCUUGGCUACCUCUGGGCACAAGACUGUGGGGAGAAGGGGGAACUGUCCCUUCCAUAGGCUGGAAUGCAAUAUAACUUGCUUUAUUUUUGAGAGCAGAAGCCACAAGUUCACCCAGAUGAUUAUUUUAUAACAAAGGCAUGACACAUAUGUAUGGGGUUGCUUCUGGUAUCUGAACUGACAGUUCUUACUCCGAUGGUUGCAGGUGAUGACCAGGAGGGACUAUAAAUCAAUCAUCCUACUGUUCCAAAGUGCAGAGUCCUUCCCUGACACCAACACCUUGUUUCUCCUCUAACUGGUCAGAGUCCAGCCCAGGAGGAAACCUGGGGAGGCCCAGUGGGGACUGGGACAAGAGAGGCAGAGUUGAGAUCAGUGCCCUGUGAACAUGGUGUCCAUCAUGCUCCCUGGAGGACAUGGGGAAGCUCCCUGCACAGAUUGCUACUGAAUUUUCCUGGGGUGCAUCCUCAGGGUGUGACCCCUGGGGAUCCCUCUUUCCCACGGCCUACACCCUGCUCUGUGAUGAUUCUCGUUCCCUGCCUGGGCUCCUGGCCCCUCGUGUGGUCACCACCUUGACAUACAGCAGGUCCCGUUGCCUCCAUCCUUAUUCCCAUUUUAUGGGUGUGGAGCGGUCAAGGAAUUUGCUCAGGCCAUGCUGUCUGCUCAUGUUGGAACUGGAGCCUGACCUAGGUCAAUGAUCCACAGACUCUGUCCCUCCCGAAGGAAAUCACAAACAGGACACAUGGUUCAUUUGCUAUUUCUGCAAACUGGAGACUCCAAAGGUGUCUUAUUGGUGCCAGUUUUUCUAGCCAUGAUUAUUGACAAAGUCCACCUGCAGUCAUAAUUGGGCAAUUGUCCCCAAGUGAUGCCAAGCCCUGAUUUCCACCAGUGACAGUUUUAUCCACAGCAGUCUGGGGUGUCUAGUGUUGGGCUGGAUGCCAUUUGUCUCCAGUGGGCAUCAUCUGGGCUCUUUAAAAUCGAGAAUCCUAAGCUGAUCCCAGAGAAGGAGGGGCGCUCCCUGCAGUUCGAGCCUUGGAAUCUGCAUUUGCGCUAGCAACCUGGUGGUCCCGACACACACGUGUGACAGCAGCUCUUGGGGCAUGGCUCUGCUGCUUCCAGCCCCCUAGGCUGCUUUAAUUAACAACAGCAAUCAUGAUAGUAAUUAGAGUUUCCUGUAUACAUGGUGGGCCUGAUUACAGAUGGGGAGUGGAGGCUGAGCAAGGGUAAACCAUCAACCCGAGGCCACCAGCCGGUGGCUCUGACUUUCACCAUGGCAUGCGGCAGACCCAGCUGUGGUGGGUGCCUGUGGCUCCUCAUAUGUCCCUGCUUCUUGCACCACAGCAAAGGUGUCCUCUGACAGUCAACAGGCGAUCCACUGUGCUCCGCGUCCAGUGGUCUGUUUAACUUUCCUUUUUAUUAUAGAAAAUUCCAAACAUGCCCCAAAGGUAAGGAGCAGCAUGGUGACCCCUCACCACGGGGCAGCUUCAGCAGGGACAAGAUCGGUUUUAGAGCCCAGACCAUGCAAGGAAGCCCAGUUGGCCCAAGCCCUGCCCUGGCAGCCCUCCUAUGUCCACCGGGCGCGCUAGGGCCGCAGGUGUGAGCUCCAGCAGACCCAGAGGACAGU